rnacentral:lncRNA from 1 species
GUGGGGGCUCUGAGGAGCUCCCUGGGGGAAGGAGGAAGGAUUCAGGAGUCCCUGUGGCAGGAGGAGAGCCAAGCCCUCGGUGAUGCUGCGUGCUGUCUGCACUGGGGCACAGCACCCCUUGCUGCCUCAGCUGCUGCUGUGUAUUCACCUGACGAGGGCCAAAAAGUGAUCGAAGUCCUACAGAAACUGCACGGAGCAAUUCAGCUCCCGUGUUCAGACCCACUGCUCUCACUGAUGUCUUCGGGCCAUGCCAAGGACCUCAGCUCAGCUCUGAGUAAGAGCGGGGACCAUUUGCUCUUCUGCUCGUGUCUCUGUGAUUGUCCAUGCGUUUUGAGCUAUCUCCAGAUAGCAUUAAAGGGCUUGCUAAUGUGUUGGGAAAGCCUAUUUCUCUUUAAAAAAAAAAAAAUUAAAACCCCCACUCAUUUAAAAGUGACAUUUUGUGUUCAUAUGUGCCAACAUGAUCCUUGAUCUUACACCAGGACUUAGACGACUUCUAUGGAACCUGCUCACACAACCUGUCUGCACAUACGAGGCGCACAUUCUGCAGCUCCUUGAUGCUCCUCUUGUGGUAGAAAGAAAAAAUGAGUCACUCCUGCUUCCUCUCCUCCUGCACAGUGAGCAGGCUGGGAAAUAGGGUGGGCAUCCCACAUUUCUGAGACAGGAAACCAAAUUUUUGCUUCACCGUUACGUGUGAUGUGAGUCAAGGCUGGCCCCACGGGAAGGGGCAGCACUGUCGCUUCUGAGGGGUGUUCCUCUGCGGAAAGGCUGUGAGCCCUCUUUGCCUUUGAGGACACCCCAGAAAGCUGUGCCAAAGCAGCACAGAGGAACGUGAUCUCCAAAGAAGGCUGGGAUGAGUUGGUGUGGAGGGCAAGAUGAGAUUAUCCAACCAAUUUCUCUAAGCAAACGCUUGUCUUCCUUCUUCCUCACCUCUCAUGGCCCCUUGGUUUGGUGGUACUUAAAUGCCUCUGCACAAUUUGAGCUCCCAUGGCACUUCCAUUGGGGAAAGAACCCAAAAGAGCACGAAGGCUUCUUACAUUCUUGAGCAAACUG